rnacentral:rRNA from 1 species
AACGAACGCUGGCGGCAUGCCUAACACAUGCAAGUCGAACGAUGCCUUCGGGCAUAGUGGCGCACGGGUGCGUAACGCGUGGGAAUCUGCCUUUCGGUUCGGAAUAACUCAGGGAAACUUGAGCUAAUACCGGAUAACGUCGCAAGACCAAAGAUUUAUCACCGAAAGAUGAGCCCGCGUAGGAUUAGCUAGUUGGUGAGGUAAAGGCUCACCAAGGCGACGAUCCUUAGCUGGUCUGAGAGGAUGAUCAGCCACACUGGGACUGAGACACGGCCCAAACUCCUACGGGAGGCAGCAGUGGGGAAUAUUGGACAAUGGGCGAAAGCCUGAUCCAGCAAUGCCGCGUGAGUGAUGAAGGCCUUAGGGUUGUAAAGCUCUUUUACCCGGGAAGAUAAUGACGGUACCGGGAGAAUAAGCCCCGGCUAACUCCGUG